AAAUUACAAUGAUGUUGCCACCACUUAGUGACAGCUUGCUGGUGUCAAAGUCUGUGCCAUUGUUGUAAAAGCAGGUCACUAUUCAAUCCUCCCAACAACCUGGGCAGGUCACUUCUGUCUUUCUUGAUAGUUUAUAGCUGAGAGCAUUAAAGCUCAGCGAGGGUCGUCACAUGCCCGGGGACACACAGUGACGGUGGGAAUGGCCGAGCUGGGCUCCCACUCAGCCUGUCUCGCUGCAGAUCCUGCGUUCUUCACCCCCUGCUGUAGGUUGGGAAGAGCCAAGCUGGGUGUAGCUUGCAUCCACCUGCUGUGUGGCCUGCAAGAAGUCACUCACCCUUUCUGAGCCUGACAUCCCUUGGGAACAUAGAACAAGUAAAUACUAUGAGAAGGACACCCUUCUGAUGGACCCAGUGGACGGUCCCAUCCUCGCGUCUUUGUUGUGGGGCCCUGCGCCCUGGAGUGCACCAAGAU